GGGUGCUGUUAGUGUGAUGUGUGUGUGAGGGUGCUGGUAGUGUGCUAUGUGGGUGAGGGUGUUUGUGUGUGCGAGCUUGUGAGGGUGUUGUUAAUGUACUGUGUGUGAGGGUGCUGUUUGUGUGUGUGUGUGUGUGUGCACUUGUGAGGGUGCUGUUAAUGUACUGUGUGUGAGGGUGCUGUUUGUGUGUGAGGGUACUGGCAGUGUGCUGUGUGUGUGUUUGUUAG